rnacentral:lncRNA from 1 species
AUUGGUAUGAAAUUGCCUUUGUAGUGUGAUGAAUGCUGGUUAUAUGAAGGCAUUGUUUUUAUUCUAAGCAUUGAAAGUGUUAGAGACUUGAAGUUGAAAUAUUUUCUGAAACAUUAUGGAUUAUGACCUCUGUAAUUAAAUUAACACACAAUUAUGCAUAUUGGUUAUGUCAUAAAUUAUUCUUUGACUUUUUUAUUUCAGAGAGUAUUACUGUGUGUCUUGAAACAUUGAAUGCCCCAAAACAACCAGUAUGAUAAGAAGGCCAGAAUAUACAGCUUCCCAAAAUGUUGAAAGACUAAGCUGUUUUUUCUAAGGACUUGUAUACUAUCUAGGUUGAAAUUAGCCAUGGACAAUGAAUUUGGAGGUACAUGCUGGAGCAUCAGAAAUUACAGACUUGGAAUAGAUAUUUGCAUAAUAUACAAGUAACAUUUACUGAAAAAUGACUAAUGUUUAUGUUAAUAAAGUGCAAUAUCCAUGCUUGUAACAUUUACAUGGGGGUAAUAGUUACAGUGUUGAAAGAGACUGCCAGUGUUACAUUUCAAUCUAAGUUACAGUGUGGAUGCUAAUUCUAAAUUCUUGAUAGUCAAGUGUUUUUAGUAAUUUAUGGAUACUAAUUAUUUAUCAAACUGUUUAAUUUAUCACAUUCCUACAUCAUUAUUUUACAUAAAAUGUUUGUGGUUAUAUAAUAUAUGUUUAUAUGGUAAUAAAUUUUGUUUCUGUGUAAAUAUCUUUGUUUUUGAAAAAUGAAAAUGAAACAUUCAGUGACCAUCUUCUGUCAACAAGUUAUUAUAAAUGCAAAAAAAAAAAGGAUGAAAAGUUAUCCAAUUACUUUUCACAGGUUAAUAUUGAAUAGCAGAAUACACAUAACAUUGUGUAGUUUUCUUAACUUGUAUCUGAGGCCAUUAUAAAUUAAUGGCUAGAUUAAAUAUUCUUCACAAGGGUAAGAAUUUUUUUUUUAUUUCGGAUAUAUUUUAUUUUUGUUUAAUGAAGAGUUAAAUAGAAAUAAUGACAUGUAAAGGUUUUUUUUGUCAAAUAGAUUUGAUUAUAAGGAAUAACAACUGAAAGAAAACAAUUUAUUACAUUCUUUAUAGAAGUUUUCCAUACUAAAAAUGGUAAGGGGAGGCAUAAAAAUAGUGGGAGUGGAUGAUAAUCUAUCAAUUAAUAUAGUAUGGUCUUACAUAUAUAAAUCAAUAAAUAUUUACUGGCAAUAAUAUUGAUUAGGUAUGAUGCAGCUAUAUGUUAAAUAUAUUUUUUUUAAAUGGUGAUUUGUUAUGAGAAAAUAAGCUGAUAUAUACAGUCUAGAGUCUUCUAGUAAGCUGCACAAUCAUGCUUGGAACUAGCUCCAUAUGCCCUUUCUUUUGAAAUCAUAAACUUUACUUCAUAUAAAAUAGCCAAGUAUCACAAUUAUAUGAAUGUGUACACAACUAAAAAAGCAUUGCAUUCAUUUUCUUAAGUAAUAGUUAGCAUUUGGUUAUUACACUGCGAAAAAAAGGUCAAUAUACGGGAGUGUACAGUCCCGUAUAUUUCGAAAAUGCGGGAGUAUACGGGAUGUA